CCUACGGGAGGCAGCAGUAGGGAAUCUUCCACAAUGGACGCAAGUCUGAUGGAGCAACGCCGCGUGAGUGAAGAAGGCUUUCGGGUCGUAAAACUCUGUUGUUGGAGAAGAAUGGCCGGCAGAGUAACUGUUGUCGGCGUGACGGUAUCCAACCAGAAAGCCACGGCUAACUACGUGCCAGCAGCCGCGGUAAUACGUAGGUGGCAAGCGUUAUCCGGAUUUAUUGGGCGUAAAGCGAGCGCAGGCGGUUUUUUAAGUCU
rnacentral:rRNA from 1 species